rnacentral:rRNA from 1 species
CCUACGGGUGGCAGCAGUGAGGAAUAUUGGUCAAUGGACGAGAGCCUGAACCAGCCAAGUAGCGUGAAGGAUGACUGCCCUAUGGGUUGUAAACUUCUUUUAUAUGGGAAUAAAACGAUCCACGUGUGGGAUUUUGUAUGUACCAUAUGAAUAAGGAUCGGCUAACUCCGUGCCAGCAGCCGCGGUAAUACGGAGGAUCCGAGCGUUAUCCGGAUUUAUUGGGUUUAAAGGGAGGAUAGGUGGGUUGUUAAGACAGUUGUGAAAGUUUGCGGCUCAACCGUAAAAUUGCAGUUGAAACUGGCAGCCUUGAGGACAGUAGAGGUAGGCGGAAUUCGUGGUGUAGCGGUGAAAUGCUUAGAUAUCACGAAGAACUCCGAUUGCGAAGGCAGCUCACUGGACUGCCACUGACACUGAGGCUCGAAAGUGUGGGUAUCAAACAGGAUUAGAUACCCGUGUAGUC